GGCGAACGGGUGAGUAAUACAUCGGAACGUACCUUUUAGUGGGGGAUAACUCAUCGAAAGAUGAGCUAACUACCGCAUAAUCUCUGAGGAGGAAAGGCGGGGACUUUCGGGCCUGUCGCUGAAAGAGCGGCCGAUGGCUGAUUAGCUAGUUGGCGGGGUAAAAGCCCACCAAGGCGAUGAUCAGUAGCUGUUCUGAGAGGAAGAUCAGCCACACUGGGACUGAGACACGGCCCAGACUCCUACGGGAGGCAGCAGUGGGGAAUUUUGGACAAUGGGGGGAACCCUGAUCCAGCAACGCCGCGUGAAUGAAGAAGGCCCUAGGGUUGUAAAGUUCUUUUGUCUGGGAGCAAAAGCAUAGUGCUCAAUAUCACUUUGUGCUGAGAGUACCAGAAGAAUAAGCACCGGCUAACUACGUGCCAGCCGACGCGG
rnacentral:rRNA from 1 species